GGGCCGCCUCCUCCAAACGCGCCUUAAGCGGUUUUGCAGUGGCUUUCCGCCGGAGGGCUGGGAGGCGCCCCGGCCGAGUCAGUCACCCUUUGGCCGGACAGGCGAUUCCCGAGCGCGGAGAAUGGAAACCUGGCGGUAACCUCUGCAGGUCGUGCCACUCGGUGUGCGCAAGGCCUCCAGAGGCAUCUUUUCAUUUUUAGGGGGCACUUUCCACGAAUUCAUUUGAGCUACACAGCAGUCCUGGGCAGUGGGGAGUGGUGAGCUCCAUUGUGUACACUUGGAAGCAGCCCAGAAAGCUUCUAGCACAGUGCUUUGUGCACAGUAAACACUCCAGCGGCUGUUGACCAAUGAAUGAAUGAAGAUUGUAGGCUCAAAUAUUCAAGUUAUCAAAGUGCAAAGAAUGCGAGGCUGUUGGCACUGGACUUCAAAAAUAAAUAGGCUGGACCUGUACUGUCUUACACAACAGCUAUGAGCUACUGGGCUUGUUUACUAAGUAAACAAGAAGAGGGCCUGGGAGGAGAGUCUGAUGAGCAAGGGGAAGGUAGCCAAGGAUGGAGUGAAAUACAAGAGACCACCAAGCUUUAGAUGACCAUGCAACAAAGGUUCCAGCCAGUUCCAGGUGAAGACGCCACCCCUGACCAUCAAGAAGCUACCCCGCCUCCACUAGACAGAGCAGGGAGAGAGUUCCGUCAUCCUUAAUAGGUAGGGACUAUGCCGCAAGCCAGCAUGAAGCAGUUACAGAAAAAAGAUGAUUGGUCCCUCUGCCUCCCAUGAAGAUUUAUGGGGAUCACAUCUCUUACAGAGGAAAUGAGGCAGGAAAAUAGGGUCUGGAGGCAGGGAAUA